GAUGAACGCUGGCGGCGUGCCUAAUACAUGCAAGUCGAGCGAACAGACGAGGAGCUUGCUCCUCUGACGUUAGCGGCGGACGGGUGAGUAACACGUGGAUAACCUACCUAUAAGACUGGGAUAACUUCGGGAAACCGGAGCUAAUACCGGAUAAUAUAUUGAACCGCAUGGUUCAAUAGUGAAAGACGGUUUUGCUGUCACUUAUAGAUGGAUCCGCGCCGCAUUAGCCAGUUGGUAAGGUAACGGCUUACCAAGGCGACGAUGCGUAGCCGACCUGAGAGGGUGAUCGGCCACACUGGAACUGGGACACGGUCCAGACUCCUACGGGAGGCAGCAGUAGGGAAUCUUCCGCAAUGGGCGAAAGCCUGACGGAGCAACGCCGCGUGAGUGAUGAAGGUCUUCGGAUCGUAAAACUCUGUUAUUAGGGAAGAACAAAUGUGUAAGUAACUAUGCACGUCUUGACGGUACCUAAUCAGAAAGCCACGGCUAACUACGUG
rnacentral:rRNA from 1 species